rnacentral:rRNA from 1 species
GACGAACGCUGGCGGCGUGCUUAACACAUGCAAGUCGAACGGAAAGGCCCUGCUUUUGUGGGGUGCUCGAGUGGCGAACGGGUGAGUAACGCGUGAGUAACCUGCCCUUGACUUUGGGAUAACUUCAGGAAACUGGGGCUAAUACCGGAUAGGAGCUCCUGCUGCAUGGUGGGGGUUGGAAAGUUUCGGCGGUUGGGGAUGGACUCGCGGCUUAUCAGCUUGUUGGUGGGGUAGUGGCUUACCAAGGCUUUGACGGGUAGCCAGCCUGAGAGGGUGACCGGCCACAUUGGGACUGAGAUACGGCCCAGACUCCUACGGGAGGCAGCAGUGGGGAAUAUUGCACAAUGGGCGGAAGCCUGAUGCAGCAACGCCGCGUGCGGGAUGACGGCCUUCGGGUUGUAAACCGCUUUCGCCUGUGACGAAGCGUGAGUGACGGUAAUGGGUAAAGAAGCACCGGCUAACUACGUG